AUUCUUUUGUAAUUCUUAAGUGUGACUGUUGGGUGUUCAUGCCAUUGUAUGACGUGUUCCUCCCUCGAAUCUGUUUAUGGUAUGGACACAUUACUGGUAUAAUG
ensembl:snoRNA